rnacentral:rRNA from 1 species
UACGGAGGGGGCUAGCGUUGUUCGGAAUUACUGGGCGUAAAGCGCGCGUAGGCGGACCUGCAAGUCGGGGGUGAAAGCCCGAGGCUCAACCUCGGAACUGCCUUCGAUACUGCGGGUCUCGAGUCCGGGAGAGGUGAGUGGAAUUCCUAGUGUAGAGGUGAAAUUCGUAGAUAUUAGGAAGAACACCAGUGGCGAAGGCGGCUCACUGGUCCGGUACUGACGCUGAGGUGCGAAAGCGUGGGGAGCAAACGGG